rnacentral:rRNA from 1 species
AACGAACGCUGGCGGCAGGCUUAACACAUGCAAGUCGAACGCAUCCUUCGGGGUGAGUGGCAGACGGGUGAGUAACGCGUGGGAACGUGCCCUUCAGUUCGGGAUAACCCAGGGAAACUUGGGCUAAUACCGGAUACGUGCGAGAGCAGAAAGAUUUAUCGCUGAAGGAUCGGCCCGGGUCUGAUGAGCUAGUUGGUGGGGUAAGGGCCCACCAAGGCGACGAUCAGUAGCGGGUCUGAGAGGAUGAUCAGCCACAUUGGGACUGAGACACGGCCCAAACUCCUACGGGAGGCAGCAGUGGGGAAUAUUGUACAAUGGGCGCAAGUCUGAUCCAGCCAUGCCGCGUGAGUGAUGAAGGCCUUAGGGUUGUAAAGCUCUUUCGUCCGGGACGAUAAUGACGGUACCGGAAGAAGAAGCCCCGGCUAACUUCGUGCCAGCAGCCGCGGUAA